rnacentral:lncRNA from 1 species
AAAGUAGAAGAGGACUGUUCAAGUAAGCAAAUGGAUGAAAUGGUCCCUGACAUUGAGAAAAUUCUCUCUGAACAUCUCUGUGGCUGCUGGAAACAGUGUCCUUUGUGUAAUGCAAUUUGUACAAACACCAUUCCCCAACAUGAAGGAGACCACAGUGUGCCAUUCCACCGUCCUCAGGCUGUCAAUGGUUGGCAUAAGCAUAAAACAGACCACUUUGUCAUUGACUGUUGUACCAGUUCAGUAGCAAGUGACCGCUUCAUGCUUUUGGGAAAUAACCGGGAAAUCCCAUAUAAGAACUACCGACAGGCAGGAGGGGAUUAUGCCACAUGGAGCAUCGCCCCAGAUUCAUCCACCCAGUCAUACUGGAAAUGGUUUGUCUCACACUUCAGAUCAAAACUAGAGGAAAAA